rnacentral:rRNA from 1 species
AUUGAACGCUGGCGGCAGGCCUAACACAUGCAAGUCGAACGGCAGCACAGAAGAGCUUGCUCUUUGGGUGGCGAGUGGCGGACGGGUGAGUAAUGUCUGGGAAACUGCCCGAUGGAGGGGGAUAACUACUGGAAACAGUAGCUAAUACCGCAUAACGUCGCGAGACCAAAGUGGGGGACCUUCGGGCCUCACACCAUCGGAUGUGCCCAGAUGGGAUUAGCUAGUAGGUGGGGUAAUGGCUCACCUAGGCGACGAUCCCUAGCUGGUCUGAGAGGAUGACCAGCCCCACUGGAACUGUGACACGGUCCAGACUCCUACGGGAGGCAGAAGUGGGGAAUAUUUCACAAUGGGCGCAAGCCUGAUGCAGCCAUGCCGCGUGUAUGAAGAAGGCCUUCGGGUUGUAAAGUACCUUCAGCGGGGAGGAAGGCGGUGAGGUUAAUAACCUUGCCGAUUGACGUUACCCGCAGAAGAAGCACCGGCUAACUCCGUGCCAGCCGCCGCCGUAA